AAAAAGACAAACCAUAAAUUUUCGUGUCCAAUAUUUGACUCUUCGUCUUAUAUUAAACUUUUUUAUAAUUAGUAUUUUCAUUGUUGUUAGAUGAUAAACAUGAUUAAUACUUUAUGCGUGACUUGUCUUUUUAAUUUUUUUUAUAAUUUUUUCAAAUAAGACGGACGGUCAAACGUUGGACACAGAAACCUAGGGUUUGUCUUGUU
rnacentral:pre_miRNA from 1 species